GACCUAACCCAUCAGGAGAAAUCCUGGUGGUAUGGUCAAAAUCGCAACGAGCAUAAAGAUCCCAUCAUCAGGAUCGCUCGUUGCGUUAUACAGGGAAACUUGUAUAUGGCCGUAAGGUC
rnacentral:sRNA from 12 species